UCCCGCGUGUGCGAUGAAGGCCUUCGGGUUGUAAAGCACUUUUGGCAGGAAAGAAAUAGGCCUGGCUAAUACCUGGGCUGAAUGACGGUACCUGCAGAAUAAGCACCGGCUAACUACGUG
rnacentral:rRNA from 1 species